CAGUAGCCGCGGUAAUGCGUAGGGUGCGAGCGUUGUCCGGAAUUACUGGGCGUAAAGAGCUCGUAGGCGGUUUGUCACGUCGUCUGUGAAAUCCUAGGGCUUAACCCUGGACGUGCAGGCGAUACGGGCUGACUUGAGUACUACAGGGGAGACUGGAAUUUCUGGUGUAGCGGUGAAAUGCGUUGAGAUCGGAAAGAACACCAACGGCGAAAGCACUCUGCUGGGCCGACACUGACACUGAGAGACGAAAGCUAGGGGAGCAAAUGGGAUUAGAGACCCCUGUAGUCCCUGUCUCUUAUCC
rnacentral:rRNA from 1 species